GACAGAGGGUGCAAGCGUUGUUCGGAAUCAUUGGGCGUAAAGGGCGCGUAGGCGGCUUAGUAAGUCGAAUGUGAAAUCCCAUGGCUUAACCAUGGAAGUGCAUUCGAAACUGCUUCGCUAGAGUCUCAGAGAGGGUGGUGGAAUUCCCAGUGUAGAGGUGAAAUUCGUAGAUAUUGGGAGGAACACCGGUGGCGAAGGCGACCACCUGGAUGAAGACUGACGCUGAGGCGCGAAAGCGUGGGGAGCGAACAGG
rnacentral:rRNA from 1 species